rnacentral:lncRNA from 1 species
UUUGAUUGCAGGUUUAGCUCUGCGCGAGAACUGGGAAAUUUAAUUGUGACCUCCAAUCUAAUCGACUCUGCUUUGACUAAAAUUCUUGAGCUUCAAAGAGACCAAACAGCCUUGCCUUCCCCCGUUCAAUACAGAGUUUUUUAUCCAUCUCCCAAGUGCACAAUUGUAGCUUUUGUCUCUUCACCUGACUGCACUCAAAACCCUCUUCCUGGACAAGGAGAUUUAGUUCCCUCUCCUCUCUUUGACUUCCUCUGCACCGAAGAAUACCCUUCCGUCUCCAUUAACGGAGCCGCAUUAACCCUCUUUACCUCUCUCUACGAUCAUCUCUCUGGACUAAUAGAUGAGGUCAAAAUCUGAUACUUGUUUUAAUUUACGUUAACUUUUCGUUAACAAUUGUGAGACACGAAACAGCUUGACCAUGAGAUCUCCCUCAUGGAGUCAAAACCCGUGUUGGUAUCUGUUUUUAGAUCAACUUAUAUAUAUAUAUAUAUAUAUAUAUAUAUAUCUUGUGGAUAAAAGGAAAGUUUACAAGUGAGAAUAGUGGCAUUUUUCUGACAGAUUUCACACCGUUGCUUGUUUUGCAGUUGACUGUGAUUGAAGGUCGAUUAAUCAUCACUGGGCACUCGAUGGGAGGAUCCGUUGCUUCUCUCUUCACCUUAUGCCUGCUAGAAGUCAUUAAUAUAUCAAAACCCAAAUGCCGCCCCAUUUGCAUCACCUUUGGUUCACCCCUCAUAGGCGACUUUGGCCUCCAACACUCCAAUUGGAAUUCUUUCUUCUUGCAUGUAGUGUCCAACCAAGAUCUAGUCCCCGGACUCUUCCUCCCAUCCGGCAGAUCUCCUCCCACAUCCUCCCAUUCACAAACUACUGGUUACAAGCCCUUUGGGACAUAUCUCUUGUGCUCUGAACUUGGUUGUGCUUGUUUUGACAACCCUGAUUUAAUUUUGGAAUUGCUGAAAGUCAUAUCAUCAGAGGUUGCCGGAGGAUUGCGGGAUGUUGAUUACAGGAAGAUUUUAAUAAACCUCAAGGAGAGGGCAAUCUUCAAGGGACUUCAGCAGGUGGGUGAAAGGUUUGCAGAUCCCUUGUCAGCUGGGAUCGUCAUGGACCUUGAGAUAAUUGGAUUUGAUCAAACAAAGGUAAACAGCUUUCUCCCAAUUAAUGAUGUAGUAUGGUUUACACUCAACUUCACCAAAACCUGCAACAACUGCCCUAUUUAGAUUUGCCUUCCUGUUCUUUGGGUUCUUCUAUAACUUCUCAUUUUUUAAAUUCAUGGCAGCUGUUGCGGCACAACAUUGAUAUCAACACUGUGAUAAGGAUACUGGGAGUGGAAGCCAGAAUCCUAGCCCACAAAAAUAAAGCUUCUGAUGCCAAGAAACUGAAUGACAUAAAAAUACACAUGGCCCAGCUAGAAUGGUAUAAGAAGAAAUCAAAAGAUCUGAACAAGGGUUACUACGACUGCUUCAAAAACCAGGGGUCAAAAAGGGACAUUAAAAUUGAACAGUAUAGGGGACACCUCACAAUAUACUGGAAAGACAUGGUUGCACAAGUACAGAGGAAGCCCCAGAAGGAAGGAGCAUCAUUUCGAACCAGUUGGCUCUAUCCAGGGACAACUUAUAGAAGAAUGGUUGAACCACUGGACAUUGCUGCCUUCUACAGAGAGGGUAGAACAGACUACAUAAACAAUGGAAGAUCUCCUCAUUACAAGCUGUUGCAGCAAUGGUAUGAGGAAGAUGUGAAGCCCCCAUCCAGAGAUAAGCUCGAUUCCAAGAAACUAAAGGUGUCUGGUAUCCUAACUGAGGAUUCUUUGUUUUGGGCACAUGUGGAGGAGGCUCUCUUGUCAUGCGAAUCGCUCAAGAGUGCAAACUCUACUCUUGAGCAGAGAAAAUCAUCAUGGGAUAAUCUGGUUAAGUUUGGGGAGUAUGUAAUGGAACAGAUUGGAAACUAUGCAGUGUCCCCUGAGAUUUUCUUGGGGGAAAGCAGCUUCAUGAAAUGGUGGGGAGUGUAUGAGGACUACAUAGAUGCUUCCAAUAAUUCCUAUGGGUCACCAUUGAUCAGCUUUAUGAAGAACCGUAGUUAUAGACUGUAUGGUUAGAGGGCAAUCCAGUUUGUGUAUUGUGUUUAUUGUAUUGUGAGCAUUCAAUAGAUAAAACUAGAAAGAGCGUGACCUUUUUAUGACAACUUUAGAAACCAGGGGUUAAAAGAGACAUUACAAACUGAAGUUUUUGAGAGGAAACCUCAAGAGUAUACUGGGAAGCCAUGGUGGAACAAGUAGAGAGGAAGCCUCAGAAGGAAGGAGCAAUGGUUGAACCACUUGACAUUGUUGCCUACUACAGGGAGGGUGUAAGAAACAACAUAACCGAGGGAAGAUCUGAACGUUAAACGUUGUCCAAUUAUUAUAAAUGUCUUAUACAUUACGUGUGAAAAUACCAAAAAAAAUUAUAUUCAACAUUUAUGUUUGUAUACAAGCAAUAUUUUGGAUAGUUUGAUAUAAAAAACAAAUGAAGAAAAUGAAGAAAAACAUACAAAUAUAUUUACAAUGGACAAACUUAUACAAUUAGUAUAAAUGUCUUGUAUAUUUAGUACAAAUGUCUCGUACUUUGUAAAAAUAUAAAAAUAUAGUAUUUGACUUUUAUAUAUGUGUGAAAAUGUAAAAAGAAAAAGAAAAAUAGUUAGAGCAUUUGGUACCGUGAGUGAUGACUUCACCUAAAGAAAGGUUAAUGAAUAUUAUGGUCUCGAUGGAAGAGCGACUCCGGUAAAAUAUAUGGAUUAAAUUGAUGCUUUUCUUUUGACGAUGAAGUAGUUGAGUUAUGAAUACGAGGUUUUGCUAACAGCAUUGAAGGCAAGGAUUCCCUAAUAUACUCCAAUUCAUAUUCAAUUUGUAGACCUUCAACUAACUACUCUUGCUAACGAGCAUAUCCAAGUCAAUACAUAAGAUUAAUUAAGAUUAAGUAUUACGUAUGAUAAUUGAAACCCUAUUUAAAUAAAUAAUGACACAUAUAUAAAAAAUAUAUAUAUUUUUAAAAAAAUAAAUAACAAUUUAGAGAAUUUCAUAACUUAGCAUCAAACCUAUUGUAAGAAAGAGUAUUAUACAAUGUAGGGUUUAGGAUCCAAGUCAACCUAAGAUCAAAUUUAAGUUUUAAGAUCAAUUCACAUUCAAAACUAAGGUUUUAAGUUUCAAAAAUAUAUUUCUUAAACCAAUUAAAUGGAAAAAAGAAAAUUACAAAGAAAAUUUCUCCCUCAUCAGUUUCUUUUAUCUUGAAAACUAAAGGAAAUAUAUAUCAAUAUUUGAGAUGGAAAUUCAUAAUCUUAGGUGGUGUUUGUUUUUUUGGCUUUUUGCUGAAAACUAUUUAGUUUUAGAAUUUAGGUUUUUUUUUUUUUUUACUUUUUCAUGACUUAUAAUAAACUUUUUACUAAAUAGAAAAAACCAAAAUAUGUGGUUUUUUCUAAAUAGAAAAAAUAACACAAUGGUUUUUUUUACUUUUUAAUACUUAAUAGAAAUAAAAUACUACAAAAACAAACAUCUUAAUAUUUAAUACUAUUAAGUAUUAAGGUUCUAUUUAGAAUUAAGUAAAAAAACAAACACCACCUUAGAAACACAAAGAACAAAGAGAGUAUGAAGAGACCAUACCAUGAGAGAUUUUCCGAAAGGUUGGUAAACCAUGGUAAUCACCUUUGAGUCUUGCUGAGAAAAACAAACCUUAUUUAUUUUUAUUUUUUUAUCAUUUUUUCUCUUGUGUGGUGUACAUUUAAGAAAAACAAAUCUCAAAAAAAAAAAAAAACACAAACCAAAUAAUGCCAGAAUUUGGGUUGAGAAACACCCAAAAGAUAGUGGCCCAAUACAUGUGCCUAAGAAAAUCUUCAUGAGCCGAUAAACAUAGUCACAAAACUAGUAACAGCCUUGUAGCCAUAGUUGGUGUAGUAUGAGCAAGUGGGGUAUGAAGUAGGUAGGUGAGUAUUGCAAUGAAAUUUCCAGCACUGCUUCCUGAAUUAAGAAAUCACAUACCCAAGUCUUAGUCGUCGUCGUCGUCGUACCGUGUGAGAACCGGGAAGAAUCUUUGCUCGUAGACUGGCUUUUGUAGUCUUUCUUUAACAAUUACAAGUUAUCUGAAUUCCCUUCAUCCUCCUAUAUAAUAUUGUUUUGGUCUUGUUCUUGUUGCAUUGUGGCUAGGCAUCUCCAUGGAAGGAAGGAGGAUGAAUCAAGUUCCUUUGUAUGAAUCAAUUUCUCUGCUCUUUUUUUUUUUCAAUCCUUGAAUCGAAUCAUUGCUUAGUUCUUGCUUUAAUUUCUCCAUUUUCUGUUGGGUCUUUGAUUGCAGGUUUAGCUCUGCAAGAGAACUGGGAAAUUUAAUUGUGACCUCCAAUCUAAUCGACUCUGCUUUGACUAAAAUUCUUGAGCUUCAAAGAGACCAAACAGCCUUGCUUUCCCCCGUUCAAUACAGAGUUUUUUUAUCCAUCUCCCAACUGCACAAUUGUAGCUUUUGUCUCUUCACCUGACUGCACUCAAAACCCUCUUCCUGGACAAGGAGAUUUAGUUCCCUCUCCUCUCUUUGACUUCCUCUGCACCGAAGAAUACAAGUCCGUCUCCAUUAACAGAGCUGCAUUAACCCUCUUUACCUCUCUCCACGAUCAUCUCUCUGGACUAAAAACUCAGGUCAAAAUAUGAUAGUUGUUUUUAUUUUCGUUUCCUUUUUGUUAACAAUUGUGAGACAUGAAACAGCUUGACCAUGAGAUCUCUCUCAUAGAGUCAAACUACCUGAAGAAGAAGAAGACGUUACACAUAUCCAUCUGCGUUGCAUCAUCGCAUUACCCAUUGAUCGGUUGUGAUUCAACUCUUAAUAGGAAGACAGUAGAACUGGUGUUGGUAUCUGUUUUUAGAUCAGCUUAUAUGUAUCUUGUUGCUAAAAAGGGAAUGUUUAGAAGUGAGAUUAAUGGGAUUAUUCUGACAUGGAUUUCAUAUGGUUACCUGUUUUGCAGUUGACUGUGAUUGAAGGUCAAUUAAUCAUCACUGGGCACUCCCUGGGAGGAGCCGUUGCUUCUCUCUUCACCUUAUGCCUGCUAGAUGAAAAUUUAUUAAAACCCAAAUGCCGCCCCUUUUGUAUCACCUUUGGUUCACCCCUCGUCGGCGGCUUUGGCCUCCAACACUCCAUAUGGAAUUCUUUCUUCCUGCAUGUAGUGUCUAACCAAGACCCAGUCCCCGGUCUCUUCCUCCCAUCUGGCAGAGGCAGAUCUACGCCCACAUCCUCCCAUUCACAAACUACCGGUUACAAGCCCUUUGGGACAUAUCUCUUGUGCUCUGAACUUGGUUGUGCUUGUUUUGACAACCCUGAUUUAAUUUUGGAAUUGCUGAAAGUCAUAUCAUCAGAGGUUGCCGGAGGAUUGCAGGAUGUUGAUUAUGGGGAGAUUUUAAGAAACCUCAAGGAGAGGGCAAUCUGCAAGGGACUUCCGCAGGUGGGUGAAAGGUUUGCAAAUCCAUUUUCAGCUGGGAUCAUCAUGGAACUUGAGACAAUUGGAUUUAAUCAAACAAAGGUAAACAGCUUUCUCCCAUCUAAUGAUGUUAUGGAACAUGGUUUACACCUCAUUAAAUACUGCAACAACUGCCCUAUUUAGAUUUACCUUCUUGUUCUUUGGGAUUUUCCAUAACUAGACUCAUUUUUUAAUUUCAUGGCAGCUGCUGCAGCAUAACAUUGAUAUCGAGACUGUGAUAAGCGCAAUGGAAGCGGAAGCAAGAAACCUAACCCAGAAAAAUAAAGCUUCCGAUGCCAAGAAACUGAAUGAAAUAAAAAUAGACAUGACCCGGCUAGAAUUGUAUAAGAAGAAUUCGAACAUGGGUUACUACGAUUGCUUCAAAAACCAGGGGUCUAAAAGGGACAUCCACGUUGAACAGUUUAGGGUAAACCUCACAGGGUACUGGGAAGGCAUGGUUGCACAAAUACAGAGGAAGCCUCAUAAGGAAGGAGCAACAUUUCGAACCCGUUGGCUCUAUGCAGGGACGGUUUAUAGAAGAAUGGUUGAACCACUGGACAUUGCUGCCUUCUACAGAGAGGGUAGAAAAGACUACAUGAAUAAAAGAUCUGCACAUUACAAGCUGUUGCAGGAAUGGUAUGAGGAAGAUGUGAAACCCCCCUCUAGAGAUAAGCUUGAUUCCAAGAAGCAAAAGGUGUCCAGUAUCCUAACUGAGGAUUCUUGCUUUUGGGCACAUGUGGAGGAGGCUAUCUUGUCAUGCGAAUUGCUCAAGAGUGAAAACUGUAAUCUUGAGGAGGGAAAAUCAUCAUGGGAUAAUCUGGUUAAGUUCGAGGAGUAUGUAAUGGAACAGAUUGACAACUAUGCAGUGUCCCCUGAGAUUUUCUUGGAGAAAAGCAGCUUCAUGAAAUGGAGGGGACUGUAUGAGGGCUACAUAGAUACUCGCAGUAAUUCCCAUAGCUCGCCAUUGAUCAGCUUUAUGAAGAAUCGUAGUUAUAGACAAUAUGGAUAGAGGGGUAAUCCAGUUUGUGUGUUGUGUGUAUUGUUUUGUGAGCAUUCAAUGGAUAGAACUAGAAAGAGUGUGACCUUUUCCUUUUUUUUUUCAGUUGCUGCCCAUAUUCUCAGCACUAUUUUCUUCCUUCUUUUCCUCAGUUUUUUUGUUAAGAAAUGAAUAUUAUGAUGUUGCCGGGAUGCACUUUCAUUUUUGUUCCAUUACAUUGUGUUUUAUUCAUAUCCUAAACAAAUAAAUGUAAACAAGAAAAUCAAAUGAGACUUCAAAGAGUCUGUUCCUUUUAAAGCAAGGGAAAAAAAGGACAUGUUUGUUUACUUCCACAGCUGGGUAGAUUCAACUCCACCAAAAUUGGCAACAACUUCCCAUUGAAAAAUUCCUUUUAAGCUUGAAUGACAUAAAACUAGAUAUGUUCCAGCUAGAAUGGUACAAGAAAGAAAUCAAAAGAUGAGCACAAUGGGUUAUUAUGACAGCUUUAGAAACCUGGGGUGUAAAAGAGACAUUAAAAUGGAACCGAGGGGAAGACAUUGUAGAACAAGUAAAGAGGAAGCCUCACCAGGAAGGGCAGCUUUGCAAACCCUCUGGCUCUGUACAGGAACGAAUUAUAGAAAGAUGGUUGAACCACUUGACAUUGCUGCCUACCACAGAGAGGGUGGAAGAAACUACAUAACCAAUGGAGGAUGUAAACAUUACACGCUAUUAGAGCAAUGAUGCAAUGAAGAGAAGGGGACUUUGUCUUCCAAUAAUUUAAGAAAAUAAAACCAAAUAAUGCCAGAAUUUGGGUUGAGAAACACCCAAAAGAUAGUGGCCCAAUAUGAAGUAGUCACAAAACUAGUAACAGCCUUGUGGCCAUAGUUGGUGUAGUAUGAGCAAGUGGGGUAUGAAGUAGGUAGGUGAGUAUUGCAAUGAAAUUUCCAGCACUGCUUCCUGAAUUAAGAAAUCACAUACUCAAGUCUUAAUCGUUGUCAUCAUACCGUGUGAGAACCGAGGAAGAAUCUUUGCUCUUAGACUGGAUUUUGUAGUCUUUCUUUAACAAUUACAAGUUAUCUGAAUUCCCUUCAUCCUCCUAUAUAAUAUUGUUUUUGGUCUUGUUCUUGUUGCAUUGUGGCUAGGCAUCUCCAUGGGAGGAAGGAGGAUGAAUCAAGUUCCUUUGUAUGAAUCAAUUUCUCUGCUCUUUUUUUUUUCAAUCCUUGAAUCGAAUCAUUGCUUAGUUCUUGCUUUAAUUUCUCCAUUUUCUGUUGGGUCUUUGAUUGCAGGUUUAGCUCUGCAAGAAAACUGGGAAAUUUAAUUGUGACCUCCAAUCUAAUCGACUCUGCUUUGACUAAAAUUCUUGAGCUUCAAAGAGACCAAACAGCCUUGCCUUCCCCCGUUCAAUACAGAGUUUUUUAUCCAUCUCCCAACUGCACAAUUGUAGCUUUUGUCUCUUCACCUGACUGCACUCAAAACCCUCUUCCUGGACAAGGAGAUUUAGUUCCCUCUCCUCUCUUUGACUUCCUCUGCACCGAAGAAUACAAGUCCGUCUCCAUUAACAGAGCUGCAUUAACCCUCUUUACCUCUCUCCACGAUCAUCUCUCUGGACUAAAAACUCAGGUCAAAAUAUGAUAGUUGUUUUUAUUUUCGUUUCCUUUUUGUUAACAAUUGGGAGACAUGAAACAGCUUGACCAUGAGAUCUCUCUCAUAGAGUCAAACUACCUGAAGAAGAAGAAGACGUUACACAUAUCCAUCUGCGCUGCAUCAUCGCAUUACCCAUUGAUCGGUUGUGAUUCAACUCUUAAUAGGAAGACAGUAGAACUGGUGUUGGUAUCUGUUUUUAGAUCAGCUUAUAUGUAUCUUGUUGCUAAAAAGGGAAUGUUUAGAAGUGAGAUUAAUGGGAUUAUUCUGACAUGGAUUUCAUAUGGUUACCUGUUUUGCAGUUGACUGUGAUUGAAGGUCGAUUAAUCAUUACUGGGUACUCGAUGGGAGGAUCCGUUGCUUCUCUCUUCACCUUAUGCCUGUUAGAAGUCAUCAAUUUAUCAAAACCCAAAUGCCGCCCCAUUUGUAUCACCUUUGGUUCACCCCUCAUAGGCGACUUUGGCCUCCAACACUCCAAUUGGAAUUCUUUCUUCUUGCAUGUAGUGUCCAACCAAGAUCUAGUCCCCGGACUCUUCCUCCCAUCCGACAGAUCUCCUCCCACAUCCUCCCAUUCACAAACUACUGGUUACAAGCCCUUUGGGACAUAUCUCUUGUGCUCUGAACUUGGUUGUGCUUGUUUUGACAACUCUGAUUUAAUUUUGGAAUUGCUGAAAGUCAUAUCAUCAGAGGUUGCCAGAGGAUUGCGGGAUGUUGAUUACAGGAAGAUUUUAAGAAACCUCAAGGAGAGGGCAAUCUGCAAGGGACUUCCGCAGGUGGGUGAAAGGUUUGCAAAUCCAUUUUCAGCUGGGAUCAUCAUGGAACUUGAGACGAUUGGAUUUAAUGAAACAAAGGUAAACAGCUUUCUCCCAUCUACUGAUGUUAUGGAACAUGGUUUACACAUCAUUAAAUACUGCAACAACUGCCCUAUUUAGAUUUAGGGCAAUGAUGAAAAUAUCAGUAAUCACGGAUAUAUCAGUAUUUCGAUUUUACGGAUAUAUCGGAUAUAUCGGAGAUAUAUCGGUAGAUAUUUUGAAAAAAAAUAUCGGCAAGCUUAAAAUUGUUAAAAACUCAUGAAAAUAUAAGAAAAUCUCAUAAUAAUAUAAUUAAAAGUAUAAUAGACAUUUUAAAGUUAUUUUAUUGAAAAUUUUGAUAUAUGUAUAACAUGAUUUAUCAUAUUUGAUAAUAAUAUCGUAUGCGUCGAUAAAAAUAUGAAUUUUAUAAGUGUACAUUUAUUAUUAAAUUACACCUAAUAUUAUGAUAUCUGAUUAUAAUAUGUCUAAUUUUAAAAUAUAUAUUAGUAUUAAAAUAUGAUCCAUUUAAUUCAAUUGUAUUAAACAAUAUAAAAUAAAUAAUGAUAUAUAUAUAUAUAUAUAUAAUUUUUUAAUAUUUAAUUAAUUAUUAAUGAUAUUAAAAACAUUAUGAAGAAAAUUAUAUAAUUUUUUAAUUUUUGGUAAUUAAUUAAAAGACUUUGCAUUUAAUUAUAAAUUAAUUAUAAUUAAUUUACUCUUUAAAAUAUUCUUAUAUUUUCUUUAUAUAAUGAAUUUAAGUAUAUAUAUAGUUGUUGCAUAUUAUAUAUUAAAGGACAACUUAGCCCAAGUGGUAAGCGAGUGAACCCCAAUGUGAGGCAUUGUAGCACGUGCACUGUAGCAUCACUGUAGCGACUCUGACUUUCGUUGACCCGCAUUGACUACACGAUAUAUCGGAGAAAAAUCACUGAUUUAUCGCCAAAUCACCAAUAAAUCGCCGAUUUCUCGCGAUAAAUACCAAAAUAUAGUGUCGAAACCCUUCGAUACACGAUUUUUCGGCGCAUUUUCUUACUUGGAUUUACCUUUUUGUUCUUUGGGAUCUUCCAUGACUCAUUUUUUAAUGCCAUUUUAUUUUCCUUUUUGUUUCUAAAUUUUUAAAAAAUCGUUUUCACUUCUUUUUUUUAAGAAAAUUUUGGCAAAUUUUGAAAAUAUAAUAUUAGUGUUUUCACUUCUUUCUUUUUUUUUUUUUUCUUUUUUUUUUUAAACUCAAUUUUCUAAAAAAUGAAAAUAGAAAAACAUUGUCUAAACAUGUUUGUAAACUUAAUUUUAUUUUUUUAUAAAUGAAAAAAAAAAUCUAAAUGAGUAAGGCUUUAUUAAUUUUAAUUUUUUUCUUUUCCUUAUAUUUUCUUAUUUUAUUCCAAAUUUUCUUGCAACCAAACAUAAUCUAAAUGUUUACAACUUUUAUUGUAAGGAAUGAAUGACACUACUUUGUGAACUUUUAUGAUAAUAUUUUGAAUCAUAAAUUGUGUUUUUUUUAGUAAUAUCAAUUUUAUUACCAAUGACUUAAUUGUUAAUAACAAAAUAUAAUAUUUAUAAAUAUUUUUAUUCUCAACAGGCUACAAUUUUUACUCUUGUGAUAAAAAAAAUUUUGUCAUAAAUUACACAUUAUGAUGAGUUUUUCUAUUUUCCUUAUCAGCCAAUUCAACAAAUAUCAUAUAUAUUGUAAUGGCUAACAAAUUUUCACAUAAAUUUUUUAUAAGAUAAAGUAGAAUGGAAUUAUUCAAUUUCAAAAAAAAAAAAAAUGGUACCUAAUGAAAAAGAUAAAAUAUAUAGAUCAUCUCGAAGAAAUCAGGAAAGAUAAAUGAUGAGACCAUAUAUAGGACCCUUGAUGGAGACUAUUUUAAUUGAAGUGGUGUGCUCCUUCCGACUCAGAACAUGUUCAGCAUUGCACACAAACUAACAUCGUCGAUCUUGAGUAUGAAAAAGGUGAUUAGAUUCCAAGGUUGUCGUUUGUCCCAACUCCUCAUAUUAGAGGUGAUGCUCAAGCUAACGUGCCUCGCAGUUGAGCCCCGGCCAAUCGGUCUAAUAUGCUUUUCCAAUGGUGAGUUUCACUGCCACCAUGUAUUACAUUAAUUCCGAUAGCGCACAAGUUGUGUUUGUGCUAUUGCUUUUUGCCCUCACAAACAUAUACACAAGAGACAUUCAGACCAGAUCUGUUCUACCAUCCUCUAGGAAAGCAUUGUAGGUCAUUUGAAAUUGGGAUUUCAGCACCAGAGUCAAAUUGCCUUCCUUCCUGAAAGAUGAGCAUUUUUUAUACUCUUACAUCGGCUUUUAUGGAAAUGAAAUCAGCUUCUCAUUCUGUUACAUUUUUCAAUUUUGCUGCCUAUAACUGCUCACUGCCUGUUUGUGAGACAUUAUCCAGAUUUUCCCUGAUCAAUUAUAGAGAGGUCAUUGGACUCAUCCAUGAUUGGAAUUUCCUGUUAUCAUUAUUUGCAAAUCAUCAACCAUUUGUCAUGAUAUCUUAAGUUAAGCUGAGCACGAAUUUCAGCUAAGAUCCUCAGAACUAGAAAUAUGCACUGCAGGUAUUACUUGAUAUGUGAAUAUCCAAUACAAUAUUUUUUUACUAAGAGGAAUACGAAUUUGAAACACUUUCCAAUAAUUUAUCAAGUCAUAUUUUCGUGCUGUCGUGAUACAUGUGUCUACUGUAUGCAUGGCUUUUCUUUUCUACACAUGCCUUUAUCUUUGCACAUGACUCUUUUGAUACACGCCAGCAUCAAGGCAAUUGCCUAAAUCUAAAUCACAUCCUUUGUGUCACGUCUUCCUUGUUACCACGGUCCUCUUGUACACCAUGGUCCCUUAAUGUAACUUGUGCCACAAGCCCUUUGUGCAUGAAUUCAAAUUGUUCAAUCAUUUCGCCAUUUACACCUUUUAAGGUCCAAUAAGCGUAUACAAGAGACUACACUCAUUCUAGAUGAUAAAGUACAUUCAACUAACUACUCUUGCUAAUGAGCAUAUCCAAGUCAAUACAUAAGAUUAAUUAUUACAUAUGGUAAUUGAAACCCUGUUUAAAUAAAUAGUGACACAAAUAUAAAAAAUAUAUAUAUUUAAAAAUAAAUAAAUAACAAUUUAGAGAAUUUCAUAACUUAGUAUCAAACCUAUUGUAGGAAAGAGUAUUAUACAAUGUAGGGUUUAGGAUCAAAGUUAACCUAAGAUCAAUUUUAAGUUUUAAGACCAAUUCAAAUUCAAAACUAAGGUUUUAAGUUUCAAAAAUAUAUCUCUUAAACCAAUUAAAUAGAAAAAAGAAAAUUACAAAGAAAAUUUCUUCCUCAUCGGUUUCUUUUAUCUUGAAAACUAAAGGAAAUAUAUAUCAAUAUUUGAGAUGGAAAUUCAUAAUCUUAGAAACACAAAGAACAAAGAGAGUAUGAAGAGACCAUACCAUGAGAGAUUUUCCAAAAGGUUGGUAAACCAUGGUAAUCACCUUUGAGUUUUGCUGAGAAAAACAAACCUUAAUUUUUAUUUUUAUUUUUUUAUCAUUUUUUCUCUUGUGGUGUACAUUUAAGAAAAACAAAUCUUAAAAAAAAAAAAAAAAAAACCAAAUAAUGCCAGAAUUUGGGUUGAGAAACACCCAAAAGAUAGUGGCCCAAUACAUGUGCCUAAGAAAAUCUUCAUGAGCCGAUAAACAUAGUCACAAAACUAGUAACAGCCUUGUAGCCAUAGUUGGUGUAGUAUGAGCAAGUGGGGUAUGAAGUAGGUAGGUGAGUAUUGCAAUGAAAUUUCCAGCACUGCUUCCUGAAUUAAGAAAUCACAUACCCAAGUCUUAGUCGUCGUCGUCGUACCGUGUGAGAACCGGGAAGAAUCUUUGCUCGUAGAGUGGCUUUUGUAGUCUUUCUUUAACAAUUACAAGUUAUCUGAAUUCCCUUCAUCCUCCUAUAUAAUAUUGUUUUUGGUCUUGUUCUUGUUGCAUUGUGGCUAGGCAUCUCCAUGGAAGGAAGGAGGAUGAAUCAAGUUCCUUUGUAUGAAUCAAUUUCUCUGCUCUUUUUCUUUUCAAUCCGUGAAUCGAAUCAUUGCUUAGUUCUUGCUUUAAUUUCUCCAUUUUCUGUUGGGUCUUUGACUGCAGGUUUAGCUCUGCAAGAGAACUGGGAAAUUUAAUGGUGACCUCCAAUCUAAUCGACUCUGCUUUGACUAAAAUUCUUGAGCUUCAAAGAGACCAAACAGCCUUGCUUUCCUCCGUUCAAUACAGAGUUUUUUAUCCAUCUCCCAAGUGCACAAUUGUAGCUUUUGUCUCUUCACCUGACUGCACUCAAAACCCUCUUCCUGGACAAGGAGAUUUAGUUCCGUCUCCUCUCUUUGACUUCCUCUGCACCGAAGAAUACAAGUCCGUCUCCAUUAACAGAGCUGCAUUAACCCUCUUUACCUCUUUCCACGAUCAUCUCUCUGGACUAAAAACUCAGGUCAAAAUAUGAUAGUUGUUUUUAUUUUCGUUUCCUUUUUGUUAACAAUUGUGAGACAUGAAACAGCUUGACCAUGAGAUCUCUCUCAUAGAGUCAAACUACCUGAAGAAGAAGAAGACGUUACACAUAUCCAUCUGCGUUGCAUCAUCGCAUUACCCAUUGAUCGGUUGUGAUUCAACUCUUAAUAGGAAGACAGUAGAACUGGUGUUGGUAUCUGUUUUUAGAUCAGCUUAUAUGUAUCUUGUUUCUAAAAAAGGUAAGUUUAGAAGUGAGAUUAAUGGGAUUAUUCUGACAUGGAUUCCAUAUGGUUACCUGUUUUGCAGUUGACUCAGAUUGAAGGUCAAUUAAUCAUCACUGGGCACUCCCUGGGAGGAUCCGUUGCUUCUCUCUUCACCUUAUGCCUGCUAGAUGGAAAUUUAUUAAAACCCAACUGCCGCCCCUUUUGUAUCACCUUUGGUUCACCCCUCAUCGGCGGCUUUGGCCUCCAACACUCCAUAUGGAAUUCUUUCUUCCUGCAUGUAGUGUCUAACCAAGACCCAGUCCCCGGUCUCUUCCUCCCAUCUGGCAGAGGCAGAUCUACGCCCACAUCCUCCCAUUCACAAACUACCGGUUACAAGCCCUUUGGGACAUAUCUCUUGUGCUCUGAACUUGGUUGUGCUUGUUUGGAAAAGCCUGAUUUAAUUUUGGGAUUGCUGAAAGUCAGAUCAUCCGAGGUUGCCGGAGGAUUGCAGGAUGUUGAUUAUGGGGAGAUUUUAAGAAACCUCAAGGAGAGGGCAAUCUGCAAGGGACUUCAGCAGGUGGGUGAAAGGUUUGCAGAUCCUUUUACAGCUGGGAUCAUCAUGGACCUUGAGAUAAUUGGAUUUGAUCAAACAAAGGUAAACAGCUAGCUUUCUCCCAUCUAAUGAUGUUAUGAAACAUGGUUUACACUUCACCAAAUACUGCAACAACUGCCCUAUUUAGAUUUGCCGUCUUGUUCUUUGGGAUCUUCCAUAACUAGACUCAUUUUUUAAUUUCAUGGCAGCUGCUGCAGCAUAACAUUGAUAUCGAGACUGUGAUAAGCACAAUGGAAGAGGAAGCCAGAAACCCAACCAAAAAAAAUAAAGCUUUCGAUGCCAAGAUUCUGAAUCACAAAAAAAAAGACAUGGCCGGGCUAGAAUGGUAUAAGAAGAAAUCAAAAGAUCUGAACAAGGGUUACUACGACUGCUUCAAAAACCAGGGGUCAAAAAGGGACAUUAAAAUUGAACAGUAUGGGGGACACCUCACAUUAUACUGGAAAGACAUGGUUGCACAAGUACAGAGGAAGCCCCAGAAGGAAGGAGCAACAUUUCGAACCCGUUGGCUCUAUGCAGGGACGGUUUAUAGAAGAAUGGUUGAACCACUGGACAUUGCUGCCUUCUACGUAGAGGGUGGAACAGACUACAUGAAGAAUGAAAGAUCUCUUCAUUACAAGCUGUUGCAGCAAUGGUAUGAGGAAGAUGUGAAACCCCCCUCUAAGGAUAAGCUUGAUUCCAAGAAGCAAAAGGUGUCUGGUAUCCUAACUGAGGAUUCUUGCUUUUGGGCACAUGUGGAGGAGGCUAUCUUGUCAUGCGAAUUGCUUAAGAGUGAAAACUGUACUCUUGAGCAGGAAAAAUCAUCAUGGGAUAAUCUGGUUAAGUUCGAGGAGUAUGUAAUGGAACAGAUUAACAACUAUGCAGUGUCCCCUGAGAUUUUCUUGGGGGAAAGCAGCUUCAUGAAAUGGUGGGGACUGUAUGAGGGCUACAUAUAUGCUCGCAGUAAUUCCCAUAGGUCACCAUUGAUCAGCUUUAUGAAGAACGGUAGUUAUACAGAGUAUCGUUAGAGGGGUAAUCCAGUUUGUGUGUUGUGUGUAUUGUUUUGUGAGCAUUCAAUGGAUAGAACUAGAAAGAGUGUGACCUUUUUCCUUUUUUUCUUCUAGUUGCUGCCCAUAUUCUCAGCACUAUUUUCUUCCUUCUUUUCCUCAGUUUUUUCUUAAGAAAUGAAUAUUAUGAUGUUGCUGGGAUGCACUUUCAUUUUUGUUCCAUUACAUUGUGUUUUAUUCAUAUCCUAAACAAAUAAAUGUAAACAAGAAAAUCAAAUAAGACUUCAAAGAGUCUGUUCCUUUUAAAGCAAGGGAAAAAAAGGACAUGUUUGUUUACUUCCACAGCUGGGUAGAUUCAACUCCACCAAAAUUGGCAACAACUUCCCAUUGAAAAAUUCCUUCUAAGCUUGAAUGACAUAAAACUAGAUAUGUUCCAGCUAGAAUGGUACAAAAAAGAAAUCAAAAGAUGAGCACAAUGGGUUAUUAUGACAGCUUUAGAAACCAUCUUACAACACAUCCAUCAGAAUUUAGACUAUUCAUAGAAACAUUCUUAACAUGUAAAUCUACUAUUGCCAUGCACGUCAACAUAGAAUUUCUAAAAUGAUUGAAUAAAAUAAAUAAAACAAAAGAAACCCUUCCAAGAGAAUUUCAUAAUCUAAUGUCAAAUCUAUUACGAAGAUGAACAUGUAAAAUUUAAGGUUUAUAAUCAAAGUCGACUUGAAUCUGAGUUUUAAAACCAAUUUGCAGUUUUUAAGUUUGGAGACUAGAUCUCUUAAACCAAUUAAAUGUAAAAAACUAAAAAGAAAACUUCUUCAAAUUUUGAAAUGAGAAUGAGAAUGCAAUUCCUAACUAGUUUCUUCAUCAAAAAUCCCGAAAAAAAAAAAAAAAGAAGAGAGAGAGAGACCAUAGACGCCAGUGUUUGGGUUUAGAACCACCCAAGAGAGAGUAGUCCAAUAUAUGGGCUUAAGAAAAUCCUCAUGGGCCUAAGCUAAGACUAGGAACAAUCUUGUAUCCGUGGUUGGUUUAGUAUGAGCAUGUGUACUGCGAAGGAAGUAGCUGAGAAUUGCAAUGGAAUUUCCAGUACUGCUUCCUGAACGAACAAAUCGCAUACCCAAGAUUUGGUCGUCAACGCCAUGCUGGGUGAGAACCGGGGAAGCAUCUUCGCUCGUUGACGAGCUUUUGUAGUCCUUCUUUAACAAUUAUAAGGCAUCUGAAUUCCCUUCAUCCUCCCACACCAUUGUUUUUGGUCUUGUUCUUGUUGCUUUGUGACUACGCAUCUCCAUGGAAGGAAGGAGGAUGAACCAAGUUCCUUUGUAUGCAUCAAUUUUACUGUUUUUUUUUUCCUUUUUAAUCUUUGGAUCGAAUCAUUGCUUAGUUCUUGCUUAAUUUCUCCAUUUUAUGUUGGGUCUUUGAUUGCAGGUUUAGCUCUGCGCGAGAACUGGGAAAUUUAAUUGUGACCUCCAAUCUAAUCGACUCUGCUUUGACUAAAAUUCUUGAGCUUCAAAGAGACCAAACAGCCUUGCCUUCCCCCGUUCAAUACAGAGUUUUUUAUCCAUCUCCCAAGUGCACAAUUGUAGCUUUUGUCUCUUCACCUGACUGCACUCAAAACCCUCUUCCUGGACAAGGAGAUUUAGUUCCCUCUCCUCUCUUUGACUUCCUCUGCACCGAAGAAUACCCUUCCGUCUCCAUUAACGGAGCCGCAUUAACCCUCUUUACCUCUCUCUACGAUCAUCUCUCUGGACUAAUAGAUGAGGUCAAAAUCUGAUACUUGUUUUAAUUUACGUUAACUUUUCGUUAACAAUUGUGAGACACGUAUAUAUAUAUAUAUAUAUAUAUAUCUUGUGGAUAAAAGGAAAGUUUACAAGUGAGAAUAGUGGCAUUUUUCUGACAGAUUUCACACCGUUGCUUGUUUUGCACUUGACUGUGAUUGAAGGUCGAUUAAUCAUCACUGGGCACUCGAUGGGAGGAUCCGUUGCUUCUCUCUUCACCUUAUGCCUGCUAGAAGUCAUUAAUAUAUCAAAACCCAAAUGCCGCCCCAUUUGCAUCACAUUUGGUUCACCCCUCAUAGGCGACUUUGGCUUCCAACACUCCAAUUGGAAUUCUUUCUUCUUGCAUGUAGUGUCCAACCAAGAUCUAGUCCCCGGACUCUUCCUCCCAUCCGGCAGAUCUCCUCCCACAUCCUCCCAUUCACAAACUACUGGUUACAAGCCCUUUGGGACAUAUCUCUUGUGCUCUGAACUUGGUUGUGCUUGUUUUGACAACCCUGAUUUAAUUUUGGAAUUGCUGAAAGUCAUAUCAUCAGAGGUUGCCGGAGGAUUGCGGGAUGUUGAUUACAGGAAGAUUUUAAUAAACCUCAAGGAGAGGGCAAUCUUCAAGGGACUUCAGCAGGUGGGUGAAAGGUUUGCAGAUCCCUUGUCAGCUGGGAUCAUCAUGGACCUUGAGAUAAUUGGAUUUGAUCAAACAAAGGUAAACAGCUUUCUCCCAAUUAAUGAUGUAGCAUGGUUUACACUCAACUUCACCAAAACCUGCAACAACUGCCCUAUUUAGAUUUGCCUUCCGGUUCUUUGGGUUCUUCUAUAACUUCUCAUUUUUUAAAUCCAUGGCAGCUGUUGCGGCACAACAUUGAUAUCAACACUGUGAUAAGGAUACUGGGAGCGGAAGCCAGAAUCCUAGCCCACAAAAAUAAAGCUUCUGAUGCCAAGAAACUGAAUGACAUAAAAAUACACAUGGCCCAGCUAGAAUGGUAUAAGAAGAAAUCAAAAGAUCUGAACAAGGGUUACUACGACUGCUUCAAAAACCAGGGGUUAAAAAGGGACAUUAAAAUUGAACAGUAUAGGGGACACCUCACAAUAUACUGGAAAGACAUGGUUGCACAAGUACAGAGGAAGCCCCAGAAGGAAGGAGCAUCAUUUCGAACCAGUUGGCUCUAUCCAGGGACAACUUAUAGAAGAAUGGUUGAACCACUGGACAUUGCUGCCUUCUACAGAGAGGGUAGAACAGACUACAUAAACAAUGGAAGAUCUCCUCAUUACAAGCUGUUGCAGCAAUGGUAUGAGGAAGAUGUGAAGCCCCCAUCCAGAGAUAAGCUCGAUUCCAAGAAACUAAAGGUGUCUGGUAUCCUAACUGAGGAUUCUUUGUUUUGGGCACAUGUGGAGGAGGCUCUCUUGUCAUGCGAAUCGCUCAAGAGUGCAAACUCUACUCUUGAGCAGAGAAAAUCAUCAUGGGAUAAUCUGGUUAAGUUUGGGGAGUAUGUAAUGGAACAGAUUGGAAACUAUGCAGUGUCCCCUGAGAUUUUCUUGGGGGAAAGCAGCUUCAUGAAAUGGUGGGGAGUGUAUGAGGACUACAUAGAUGCUUCCAAUAAUUUCUAUGGGUCACCAUUGAUCAACUUUAUGAAGGACCGUAGUUAUAGACUGUAUGGUUAGAGGGCAAUCCAGUUUGUGUAUUGUGUUUAUUGUAUUGUGAGCAUUCAAUAGAUAAAACUAGAAAGAGCGUGACCUUUUUAUGACAACUUUAGAAACCAGGGGUUAAAAGAGACAUUACAAAUUGAAUUUUUUGAGAGGAAACCUCAAGAGUAUACUGGGAAGCCAUGGUGGAACAAGUAGAGAGGAAGCUUCGGAAGGAAGGAUCAAUGGUUGAACCACUUGACAUUGUUGCCUACUUCAGGGAGGGUGUAAGAAACAACAUAACCGAGGGAAGAUCUGAACAUUAAACAUUGUACAAUUAUUGUAAAUGUCUUAUACAUUACGUGUGAAAAUACCAAAAAAAAUUAUAUUCAACAUUUAUGUUUGUAUACAAGCAAUAUUUUGGAUAGUUUGAUAUAAAAAACAAAUGAAGAAAACGAAGAAAAACAUACAAAUAUAUUUACAAUGGACAAACUUAUACAAUUAGUGUAAAUGUCUUGUAUAUUUAGUACAAAAGUCUCGUACUUUGUAAAAAUAUAAAAAUAUAGUAUUUGACUUUUAUAUAUGUGUGAAAAUGUAAAAGGAAAAAGAAAAAUAGUUAGAGCAUUUGGUACCGUGAGUGAUGACUUCACCUAAAGAAAGGUUAAUGAAUAUUAUGGUCUCGAUGGAAGAGCGACUCCGGUAAAAUAUAUGGAUUAAAUUGAUGCUUUUCUUUUGACGAUGAAGUAGUUGAGUUAUGAAUACGAGGUUUUGCUAACAACAUUGAAGGCAAGGAUUCCCUAAUAUACUCCAAUUCAUAUUCAAUUUGUAGACCUUCAACUAACUACUCUUGCUAAUGAGCAUAUCCAAGUGAAUACAUAAGAUUAAUUAUUACAUAUGAUAAUUGAAACCCUGUUUAAAUAAAUAGUGACACAAAUAUAAAAAAUAUAUAUAUUUAAAAAUAAAUAAAUAAUAAUUUAGAGAAUUUCAUAACUUAGCAUCAAACCUAUUGUAGGAAAGAGUAUUAUACAAUGUAGGGUUUAGGAUCAAAGUUAACCUAAGAUCAAAUUUAAGUCUUAAGACCAAUUCACAUUCAAAACUAAGGUUUUAAAUUUCAAAAAUAUAUCUCUUAAACCAAUUAAAUGGAAAAAAGAAAAUUACAAAGAAAAUUUCUUCCUCAUCGGUUUCUUUUAUCUUGAAAACUAAAGGAAAUAUAUAUCAAUAUUUGAGAUGGAAAUUCAUAAUCUUAGAAACACAAAGAACAAAGAGAGUAUGAAGAGACCAUACCAUGAGAGAUUUUCCAAAAGGUUGGUAAACCAUGGUAAUCACCUUUGAGUUUUGCUGAGAAAAACAAACCUUAAUUUUUAUUUUUAUUUUUUUAUCAUUUUUUCUCUUGUGGUGUACAUUUAAGAAAAACAAAUCUUAAAAAAAAAAAAAAAAAAACCAAAUAAUGCCAGAAUUUGGGUUGAGAAACACCCAAAAGAUAGUGGCCCAAUACAUGUGCCUAAGAAAAUCUUCAUGAGCCGAUAAACAUAGUCACAAAACUAGGAACAGCCUUGUAGCCAUAGUUGGUGUAGUAUGAGCAAGUGGGGUAUGAAGUAGGUAGGUGAGUAUUGCAAUGAAAUUUCCAGCACUGCUUCCUGAAUUAAGAAAUCACAUACUCAAGUCUUAAUCGUUGUCAUCAUACCGUGUGAGAACCGAGGAAGAAUCUUUGCUCUUAGACUGGAUUUUGUAGUCUUUCUUUAACAAUUACAAGUUAUCUGAAUUCCCUUCAUCCUCCUAUAUAAUAUUGUUUUUGGUCUUGUUCUUGUUGCAUUGUGGCUAGGCAUCUCCAUGGGAGGAAGGAGGAUGAAUCAAGUUCCUUUGUAUGAAUCAAUUUCUCUGCUCUUUUUUUUUUCAAUCCUUGAAUCGAAUCAUUGCUUAGUUCUUGCUUUAAUUUCUCCAUUUUCUGUUGGGUCUUUGAUUGCAGGUUUAGCUCUGCAAGAAAACUGGGAAAUUUAAUUGUGACCUCCAAUCUAAUCGACUCUGCUUUGACUAAAAUUCUUGAGCUUCAAAGAGACCAAACAGCCUUGCCUUCCCCCGUUCAAUACAGAGUUUUUUAUCCAUCUCCCAAGUGCACAAUUGUAGCUUUUGUCUCUUCACCUGACUGCACUCAAAACCCUCUUCCUGGACAAGGAGAUUUAGUUCCCUCUCCUCUCUUUGACUUCCUCUGCACCGAAGAAUACAAGUCCGUCUCCAUUAACAGAGCUGCAUUAACCCUCUUUACCUCUCUCCACGAUCAUCUCUCUGGACUAAAAACUCAGGUCAAAAUAUGAUAGUUGUUUUUAUUUUCGUUUCCUUUUUGUUAACAAUUGUGAGACAUGAAACAGCUUGACCAUGAGAUCUCUCUCAUAGAGUCAAACUACCUGAAGAAGAAGAAGACGUUACACAUAUCCAUCUGCGCUGCAUCAUCGCAUUACCCAUUGAUCGGUUGUGAUUCAACUCUUAAUAGGAAGACAGUAGAACUGGUGUUGGUAUCUGUUUUUAGAUCAGCUUAUAUGUAUCUUGUUGCUAAAAAGGGAAAGUUUAGAAGUGAGAUUAAUGGGAUUAUUCUGACAUGGAUUUCAUAUGGUUACCUGUUUUGCAGUUGACUGUGAUUGAAGGUCGAUUAAUCAUCACUGGGUACUCGAUGGGAGGAUCCGUUGCUUCUCUCUUCACCUUAUGCCUGUUAGAAGUCAUCAAUUUAUCAAAACCCAAAUGCCGCCCCAUUUGUAUCACCUUUGGUUCACCCCUCAUAGGCGACUUUGGCCUCCAACACUCCAAUUGGAAUUCUUUCUUCUUGCAUGUAGUGUCCAACCAAGAUCUAGUCCCCGGACUCUUCCUCCCAUCCGA